UGGAGGUGCAGGCUACAGCUAAACGUGUGGAGGAGGUGGAGGUGCAGGCUACAGCUAAACGUGUGGAGGAGGUGGAGGUGCAGGCUACAGCUAAACGUGUGGAGGAGGUGGAGGUGCAGGCUACAGCUAAACGUGUGGAGGAGGUGGAGGUGCAGGCUACAGCUAAACGUGUGGAGGAGGUGGAGGUGCAGGCUACAGCUAAACGUGUGGAGGAGGUGGAGGUACAGGCUACAGCUAAACGUGUGGAGGAGGUGGAGGUACAGGCUACAGCUAAACGUGUGGAGGAGGAGGAGGUACAGGCUACAGCUAAACGUGUGGAGGAGGUGGAGGUGUAGGCUACAGCUAAACGUGUGGAGGAGGUGGAGGUGUAGGCUACAGCUAAACGUGUGGAGGAGGAGGAGGUGCAGGCUACAGCUAAACGUGUGGAGGAGGAGGUGGAGGUGCAGGCUACAGCU